rnacentral:rRNA from 1 species
GACGAACGCUGGCGGCGCGCUUAACACAUGCAAGUCGAACGGAAAGGCCUGCUUUCCCUUGUGGAUUGCGGGUACUCGAGUGGCGAACGGGUGAGUAACACGUGAGUGAUCUGCCCCCAGCUUGGGUAUAAGCCUGGGAAACUGGGUCUAAUUCCCGAUAGGACUGCAGGGUGGUGCCUGUGGUGGAAAACGAUUUUCUAGUGGUUGGGGAUGAGCUCGCGGCCUAUCGGCUUGUUGGUGGGGUAAUGGCCUACCAAGGCGGCGACGGGUAGCCGGCCUGAGAGGGUGGACGGCCACAUUGGGACUGAGAUACGGCCCAGACUCCUACGGGAGGCAGCAGUGGGGAAUAUUGCACAAUGGGCGGAAGCCUGAUGCAGCGACGCCGCGUGGGGGAUGACGGCCUUCGGGUUGUAAACUCCUUUCGACCGCGAGGAAGCCACCUGGUUGGAAGGGUGGUGACGGUAGUGGUAGAAGAAGCACCGGCUAACUACGUG